rnacentral:rRNA from 1 species
CUUAGUGGCGGACGGGUGAGUAACGCGUGGAUAACCUGGCCCAUACAGGGGGAGUAGCAGCUGGAAACGGCUGGUAAUACCGCAUAAGCGCACGGUACGGCAUCGUACAGUGUGAAAAACUCCGGUGGUAUGGGAUGGGUCCGCGUCUGAUUAGGCAGUUGGCGGGGUAAAGGCCCACCAAACCGACGAUCAGUAGCCGGCCUGAGAGGGUGGGCGGCCACAUUGGGACUGAGACACGGCUCAAACUCCUACGGGAGGCAGCAG